rnacentral:rRNA from 1 species
GAUGAACGCUGGCGGCGUGCCUAAUACAUGCAAGUCGAGCGAACAGACUAGGAGCUUGCUCCUCUGACGUUAGCGGCGGACGGGUGAGUAACACGUGGAUAACCUACCUAUAAGACUGGGAUAACUUCGGGAAACCGGAGCUAAUACCGGAUAAUAUAUUGAACCGCAUGGUUCAAUAGUGAAAGACGGUUUUGCUGUCACUUAUAGAUGGAUCCGCGCCGCAUUAGCUAGUUGGUAAGGUAACGGCUUACCAAGGCGACGAUUGGUAGCCGACCUGAGAGGAUGAUCGGCCACACUGGAACUGAGACACGGUCCAGACUCCUACGGGAGGCAGCAGUAGGGAAUAUUCCGCAAUGGGCGAAAGCCUGACGGAGCAACGCCGCGUGAGUGAUGAAGGUCUUCGGAUCGUAAAACUCUGUUAUUAGGGAAGAACAAAUGUGUAAGUAACUAUGAACGUCUUGACGGUACCUAAUCAGAAAGCCACGGCUAACUACGUG